AACGUGCAUUUUCCUUCUAAUUAGGCACAUCCACUAUGCUGCUUACUAGAAUAAACUGUGCAAAUUGGCCUGAUGUAUGUACUAAGGAAAAUGUUACUGAAUUUCCUGUUGUAAAGAUGUACAAGGAAGGCGAGAACCCAGUAUCUUAUGGUGGUAUGUUAGGAACUGAAGAUCUCCUAAAAUUUAUCCAGCUCAACAGGAUUUCAUGUCCAGUGAACAUAACAUCUAUCCAAGAAGCAGAA